CCACAGUACCGUUUUCCUGUUCAUGAAGUGGAUUCCUGUCCCAAAAAUCGAUCAGAGUGGUACACAGCUGGAGCCCGACUUAACUGUUCUUAUGAUGAAAACAACACACUACAGUACCUAUGUAUUCCAAAUAAGGAUAUAACAAAUCUUCUCGAGUUUUGUUAUGACAGAACAAUGGAAUUUAAUGAAAAAGGAAAUUGUCUACUUUUGUAUCCUCCUGGAAAUCUAACACAAGUUAGCUGUACGAAGUUUAGAGUUGGAUGUCCUGAGCAAGACUAUCUUAGCAGUGAUAUAUUUAAUUAUUCCAGUUGUUUAGAAAUGAACAAAAACCUUGGGUGCUUUCAAGCAGAUUCAAAUUGUAAUGGUAUCGACAAAAAGAAAAGCACA